UUAAGCGACUAAGCGUACACGGUGGAUGCCCUGGCAGUCAGAGGCGAUGAAGGACGUGCUAAUCUGCGAAAAGCGUCGGUAAGGUGAUAUGAACCGUUAUAGCCGGCGAUGUCCGAAUGGGGAAACCCAGUGCAAUUCGUUGCACUAUCGUUAACUGAAUACAUAGGUUAACGAGGCGAACCGGGGGAACUGAAACAUCUAAGUACCCCGAGGAAAAGAAAUCAACCGAGAUUCCCCCAGUAGCGGCGAGCGAACGGGGAGCAGCCCAGAGUCUGAAUCAGCUUGUGUGUUAGUGGAACGGUCUGGAAAGUCCGACGGUACAGGGUGAUAGUCCCGUACACCAAAAUGCACAGGCUGUGAACUCGAAGAGUAGGGCGGGACACGUGGUAUCCUGUCUGAAUAUGGGGGGACCAUCCUCCAAGGCUAAAUACUCCUGACUGACCGAUAGUGAACCAGUACCGUGAGGGAAAGGCGAAAAGAACCCCGGCGAGGGGAGUGAAAAAGAACCUGAAACCGUGUACGUACAAGCAGUGGGAGCACCUUCGGGUGUGACUGCGUACCUUUUGUAUAAUGGGUCAGCGACUUAUAUUCUGUAGCAAGGUUAACCGUAUAGGGGAGCCGCAGGGAAACCGAGUCUUAACUGGGCGUUAAGUUGCAGGGUAUAGACCCGAAACCCGGUGAUCUAGCCAUGGGCAGGUUGAAGGUUGGGUAACACUAACUGGAGGACCGAACCGACUAAUGUUGAAAAAUUAGCGGAUGACUUGUGGCUGGGGGUGAAAGGCCAAUCAAACCGGGAGAUAGCUGGUUCUCCCCGAAAGCUAUUUAGGUAGCGCCUCGUGAACUCAUCUUCGGGGGUAGAGCACUGUUUCGGCUAGGGGGUCAUCCCGACUUACCAACCCGAUGCAAACUACGAAUACCGAAGAAUGUUAUCACGGGAGACACACGGCGGGUGCUAACGUCCGUCGUGAAGAGGGAAACAACCCAGACCGCCAGCUAAGGUCCCAAAGUCAUGGUUAAGUGGGAAACGAUGUGGGAAGGCACAGACAGCCAGGAUGUUGGCUUAGAAGCAGCCAUCAUUUAAAGAAAGCGUAAUAGCUCACUGGUCGAGUCGGCCUGCGCGGAAGAUGUAACGGGGCUAAACCAUGCACCGAAGCUGCGGCAGCGACACUAUGUGUUGUUGGGUAGGGGAGCGUUCUGUAAGCCUGCGAAGGUGUGCUGUGAGGCAUGCUGGAGGUAUCAGAAGUGCGAAUGCUGACAUAAGUAACGAUAAAGCGGGUGAAAAGCCCGCUCGCCGGAAGACCAAGGGUUCCUGUCCAACGUUAAUCGGGGCAGGGUGAGUCGACCCCUAAGGCGAGGCCGAAAGGCGUAGUCGAUGGGAAACAGGUUAAUAUUCCUGUACUUGGUGUUACUGCGAAGGGGGGACGGAGAAGGCUAUGUUAGCCGGGCGACGGUUGUCCCGGUUUAAGCAUGUAGGCUGAUUGUCCAGGCAAAUCCGGAUAAUCAAGGCUGAGGUGUGAUGACGAGGCACUACGGUGCUGAAGUAACAAAUGCCCUGCUUCCAGGAAAAGCCUCUAAGCAUCAGGUAACAUCAAAUCGUACCCCAAACCGACACAGGUGGUCAGGUAGAGAAUACCAAGGCGCUUGAGAGAACUCGGGUGAAGGAACUAGGCAAAAUGGUGCCGUAACUUCGGGAGAAGGCACGCUGGUGUGUAGGUGAAGUCCCUGCGGAUGGAGCUGAGACCAGUCGAAGAUACCAGCUGGCUGCAACUGUUUAUUAAAAACACAGCACUGUGCAAACACGAAAGUGGACGUAUACGGUGUGACGCCUGCCCGGUGCCGGAAGGUUAAUUGAUGGGGUUAUCCGUAAGGAGAAGCUCUUGAUCGAAGCCCCGGUAAACGGCGGCCGUAACUAUAACGGUCCUAAGGUAGCGAAAUUCCUUGUCGGGUAAGUUCCGACCUGCACGAAUGGCGUAAUGAUGGCCAGGCUGUCUCCACCCGAGACUCAGUGAAAUUGAACUCGCUGUGAAGAUGCAGUGUACCCGCGGCAAGACGGAAAGACCCCGUGAACCUUUACUAUAGCUUGACACUGAACAUUGAGCCUUGAUGUGUAGGAUAGGUGGGAGGCUUUGAAGCGUGGACGCCAGUCUGCGUGGAGCCAACCUUGAAAUACCACCCUUUAAUGUUUGAUGUUCUAACGUUGGCCCCUUACCGGGGUUGCGGACAGUGUCUGGUGGGUAGUUUGACUGGGGCGGUCUCCUCCCAAAGCGUAACGGAGGAGCACGAAGGUUAGCUAAUCCUGGUCGGACAUCAGGAGGUUAGUGCAAUGGCAUAAGCUAGCUUGACUGCGAGCGUGACGGCGCGAGCAGGUGCGAAAGCAGGUCAUAGUGAUCCGGUGGUUCUGAAUGGAAGGGCCAUCGCUCAACGGAUAAAAGGUACUCCGGGGAUAACAGGCUGAUACCGCCCAAGAGUUCAUAUCGACGGCGGUGUUUGGCACCUCGAUGUCGGCUCAUCACAUCCUGGGGCUGAAGUAGGUCCCAAGGGUAUGGCUGUUCGCCAUUUAAAGUGGUACGCGAGCUGGGUUUAGAACGUCGUGAGACAGUUCGGUCCCUAUCUGCCGUGGGCGCUGGAGAAUUGAGGGGGGCUGCUCCUAGUACGAGAGGACCGGAGUGGACGCAUCACUGGUGUUCGGGUUGUCAUGCCAAUGGCACUGCCCGGUAGCUAAAUGCGGAAGAGAUAAGUGCUGAAAGCAUCUAAGCACGAAACUUGCCCCGAGAUGAGUUCUCCCUGAGACUUUAAGUCUCCUGAAGGAACGUUAAAGACGAUGACGUUGAUAGGCCGGGUGUGUAAGCGCAGCGAUGCGUUGAGCUAACCGGUACUAAUGAACCGUGAGGCUUAACCUU
rnacentral:rRNA from 1 species